rnacentral:rRNA from 1 species
AACAAACGCUGGCGGCGUGCCUAAUACAUGCAAGUCGAACGAGGAAAGCUUUCGGGUGAGUACUAGUGGCGCACGGGUGAGGAAUACAUGGGUAAUCUGCCCUCGAGUUGGGGAUAACCAGGCGAAAGAUUGGCUAAUACCGAAUAAGACCACAGGAUCUGCGGAUCUAGGGGUUAAAGGUUUUUCGCUUGGGGAUGAGCCCAUGCGGGAUUAGCUAGUUGGUGAGGUAAUGGCUCACCAAGGCUACGAUCCCUAACUGGUCUUAGAGGAUGAUCAGUCACACUGGAACUGAGACACGGUCCUGACUCCUACGUGAGGCAGCAGUAGGGUAUAUUGCACAAUGGGGGACACCCUGAUGCAGCGACGCCGCGUGAGUGAUGAAGGCCUUCGGGUCGUAAAGCUCUGUCGUAUGGGACUAACACAAUGAAGGUACCAUGCAAGAAAGGAUCGGCUAACUUCGUGCCAGCCGCCGCCGUAA